AGAGUUUGAUCCUGGCUCAGGAUGAACGCUAGCUACAGGCUUAACACAUGCAAGUCGAGGGGCAGCGAUGAAGAAAGCUUGCUUUCUUCAGGCGGCGACCGGCGCACGGGUGAGUAACGCGUAUCGAACCUGCCUCAUACUCGGGAAUAGCCUUGCGAAAGUAAGAUUAAUGCCCGAUGUUAUUAGAGUAUCACAUGAUACUUUAAUUAAAGAUUUAUCGGUAUGAGAUGGCGAUGCGUCCCAUUAGUUUGUUGGCGGGGUAACGGCCCACCAAGACAUCGAUGGGUAGGGGUUCUGAGAGGAAGGUCCCCCACAUUGGAACUGAGACACGGUCCAAACUCCUACGGGAGGCAGCAGUGAGGAAUAUUGGUCAAUGGGCGAGAGCCUGAACCAGCCAAGUAGCGUGCAGGAUGACGGCCCUAUGGGUUGUAAACUGCUUUUAUAAGGGAAUAAAGUGAGUCUCGUGAGACUUUUUGCAUGUACCUUAUGAAUAAGGACCGGCUAAUUCCGUGCCAGCAGCCGCGGUAAUACGGAAGGUCCGGGCGUUAUCCGGAUUUAUUGGGUUUAAAGGGAGCGUAGGCCGGAGAUUAAGCGUGUUGUGAAAUGUAGACGCUCAACGUCUGCACUGCAGCGCGAACUGGUUUCCUUGAGUACGCACAAAGUGGGCGGAAUUCGUGGUGUAGCGGUGAAAUGCUUAGAUAUCACGAAGAACUCCGAUUGCGAAGGCAGCUCACUGGAGCGCAACUGACGCUGAAGCUCGAAAGUGCGGGUAUCGAACAGGAUUAGAUACCCUGGUAGUCCGCACGGUAAACGAUGGAUGCCCGCUGUUGGUCUGAAUAGGUCAGCGGCCAAGCGAAAGCAUUAAGCAUCCCACCUGGGGAGUACGCCGGCAACGGUGAAACUCAAAGGAAUUGACGGGGGCCCGCACAAGCGGAGGAACAUGU
rnacentral:rRNA from 1 species